CUGCCACUGAACGCGUCUGCGUGCGAGGUCUCCAGCCCGUGUGUGCCGACCAUUCCCACGUUGUACUGCUCCGUGCCCCCGGGGGCGCCCGUUGGUCUGAGAUGGGAAAGGAUAAUAUUCACAAUCAUUUGACUUACAUUCUUAUUUGGGACAAGAUGGUGUGGAACAAAGAGAUCAAUAAAUGAAGGAGUUUUCAAGAGCUAAAGCCUCCUAGGAGGGAGCCACUUUUCCUCCAUCAUGCGGGCAUUCUUGGCCACCGUCGGGGAGUAGAUUGUCAGUGGCCACCUCUGUGUAAUCAAGUUGUCUUUCACUAGUAGAGUCCCAUGGGAGUUCAAAGAUCAAAGGUAUUUUGGCUCCACUUACUGUUUUAUCCUGACAAUAUUGUGAUUCUACCCAAACAUUUUAAUCAGAAAUAUAUCAAUAUGGAUGAAUUUUCAUAAAAAGUAUUUUCUAAAUCUAAUUCCAUGAAGACAAUUUCUUGAUUAAUUUUCCACAUAUCUCAGUAAAACUCUUCCCCAAUUUUUUCACUUUCAGGGUUAUUUUACUAAAAUUAUCAUCAGUGGUCCUGAUUAUUUUCUAUAUAAGUUUUAUAAUAAAGAUUUGAUAUAUCAAUUCAUGAUUUUUUUGUCCAUGUCAUCCACCAAGGGCUUCUGUGAUCACUACUUCUACCAAGUCUGGUUUUUUCCGGAUCAGUUUUAAAGGUGUACAUUUUAUUAAGAAGAUUUGUCAAUUUUUAAUCAAUAGUAAGUUUUACAGUGUACAGUGUGGGCCACUGCCAGUUCCAGCUCUUGCUGAAUGUUUUUACUGAGAUUAUUUUUUUCCUGAGUCAAUUUUUAUAUCAAUUUUAUGAGCCAGAACUACUUCAUGUAUGAUAAAUUUUUAUAGUGAGGAGUUUGGGCUGUUUUGAGGUUUUUUAAAAAAAUGUUAUUUCUACUAAUAACAUUUCCUGUAAAUUGAAUAAAAGGUAAUCUGUAUUUCUUCCUUAGUCAAUUUUCCUCUAAAAUGGUGGGCAAAUUCUAUUCAAUAGUUUAAGGUUGUUCUAUGUGUAGGUCUGAUAUGUUGCACUGUGAAUAUUUUGUACAUAUUUGUUUAUUUUGUGUAUCUCAUAUUAAUUGCUGAGACCAUUAAUUUUUUGCUUAUUAUGUAGUAUGAUAUAAAGCAGUUGCUUUCGGUUAUGGAAAAGUCCCAUAAAUUUCUGCUUGUUCC